GACGAACGCUGGCGGCGUGCUUAAUACAUGCAAGUAGAACGCUGAAGGAGGAGCUUGCUUCUCUGGAUGAGUUGCGAACGGGUGAGUAACGCGUAGGUAACCUGCCUGGUAGCGGGGGAUAACUAUUGGAAACGAUAGCUAAUACCGCAUAAUAGUAGAUGUUGCAUGACAUUUGCUUAAAAGGUGCAGUUGCUUCACUACCAGAUGGACCUGCGUUGUAUUAGCUAGUUGGUGAGGUAACGCCUCACCAAGGCAACGAUACAUAGCCGAACUGAGAGGGUGAGCGGCCGCACUGGGAGUGUGACACGGCCCAGACUGCUACGGGAAGGAGCAGUAGGGCAUCUGGAGCAAUGGGCGGAAAACUGACCGAGCAACGCCGCGUGAUGGAAGAAGGUUUUCGGGUGGGAAAGGUCUGUUGUAAGAGAAGAACGAGUGUGAGAGUGGAAAGUUCACACUGUGACGGUAUCUUACCAGAAAGCGACGGCUAACUACGUG
rnacentral:rRNA from 1 species